rnacentral:lncRNA from 1 species
GUUGUGGUGCACUACAAGGGAUUCUUAAAGAGGCUCAUUCUCUCUUUGCAAUGUUUCAUGGACCAAUCCGAACUUUGCUUCACAAACAACCCAGUGCAGAGCUUGCUCGUGGUCACCUCCGCACAUUUCUUACAGAUUAUUUGAGCGGUGGGUCUAGUAAAAUUUACUUGUGGUUGUCAUGAACAUGUUUGAACAAGUGCUGGAGACAUGGAUGACUUCCCGGUUUGAAUAGGACUACAUUAUGGGUCAACAUUGAGCCCUUAAUUUUUUGCCUUGGUGAUGGAUGAUGUCACAAGGGACAUNNNNNNNNNNNNNNNNNNNNNNNNNNNNNNNNNNNNNNNNNNNNNNNNNNNNNNNNNNNNNNNNNNNNNNNNNNNNNNNNNNNNNNNNNNNNNNNNNNNNAUUGCUCGAGUAUGCAAGUUUGGGUGAAUCGAUUUUGUUGCAUGUGAUCCAGCUUAGGUUUUUUCAAGCAAGAACAAUUCUGGACUUGAUUAGUUUUUUUGGCAGCGGGCCAAUGGCGUUGGUUCCUAAGUUCACCUGUAUGACAGUGGCAGAUCUAGAAACAUCUAGCCUUUUAAUAGUAAUAACAUUUGUAAUUUUGUAUAGUGGUUUAUUUUCACAUAGUGUUCACAGUUCACAUAUUCAUGUAGAUCUCUAGACAACUGCAAAUACUAAUGGAUGAUUACUCAGACUGACAUGGGGGUUAACAUCAGUAAUUGGGGCCCUUCAUAAGCAACAUCUCUUUUGUGGUCACAUUAUGACUUCCGUUUGCUCUUUGAUAGUGUAUUCUCCCCAAAUUGCCAUCCAAGUAUUUCCUGACUCUAUACUUUUGAUAAUUCAUUUAUUGCCUAAUAUUGCUGGGUUCCACAUCUUAUUUCUCAAUGUUAGUUAUAUGCAGAAUAUUUUCCCCAGAAGAGGAUUGCGAGGUUAUAGAAUCAGAGAAACACUCCCAUGUUUUUUACCAAGCCGAAACGGAUAUUUGGAUGGUUCUGGUAAUGGCUUUUCACUACUUCAAUAACUUAAGAAGUAAAAAGGGCAAAGAUAGCCCUGGUAUCAUACACCCCACACACCUAGCCCUUACAAUAUAGUCUUCUUGAAGUACUAUGUCACUACUUAAUACUAUGUCAAUUUAUCUCCGGAUAGCACUGAAACUUUGGUUCAGAAGUUCUACAUGUAUUUAAUUUGUGUUGAUUAGUUCUAGUUCACUGUUAAUGUAUGAUGUUUUAUUGCCAGCUUGUCAACGAGUAUGCUUUUUGAUAGCAUUGCUCUUAUUAUCUCCAUGUAUAAAUUGUUUACCUGAUAGUUGAUAGAGAGAACACUACUCCCUGUAUAUUGCAUUGUCCUUUCAUACAACAGUGUCAAUGUGAUUUAGGGCAUGUUUGGUAGAGCUCCUGCUCUGGCUCCGGCUACUAGUCAUGCUCCAUCUGCUCCUCUGCUGAAGCAGAAGCAGUUUGGCUUCAUUUUGGCCAAGUCGAAUUCUCCUGAAUCUUGAAAGAUGGUUGUUCUGAAAUUUUCUGUACUCUGUAAUACCCUUUCCUGUUUGACCUAAGCUGUAUAGAGUUAUAUGUCGAUAUUAGAUCUUUUCCUUAAUGUAUUUUGGACAACUACAUGUUUACAACAUCUUCUGAAAUAGCACGAGUCUCAUUGUCGAGAUUUGAUCUUUCCUUAGGGAACUAGUACAUCAUUUCAUGAGCUUGCUAUUUCAAAUUUACAGCAUCUUUACAGUAAUAUAAAUUUAAUGUGCAUUGUAUUAUACUAAUACUGAUGAAUGUUAGGACUCAAUUUGAUAUUGUAGGUUGUGGAAAAAAACAAGGAAAAUGAAUUGACUUGGCGUUGUGGUGCACUACAAGGGAUUCUUAAAGAGGCUCAUUCUCUCUUUGCAAUGUUUCAUGGACCAAUCCGAACUUUGCUUCACAAACAACCCAGUGCAGAGCUUGCUCGUGGUCACCUCCGCACAUUUCUUACAGAUUAUUUGAGCGGUGGGUCUAGUAAAAUUUACUUGUGGUUGUCAUGAACAUGUUUGAACAAGUGCUGGAGACAUGGAUGACUUCCCGGUUUGAAUAGGAC